UAGGGAAUCUUGCGCAAUGGGCGAAAGCCUGACGCAGCCAUGCCGCGUGAAUGAUGAAGGUCUUAGGAUUGUAAAAUUCUUUCACCGGGGACGAUAAUGACGGUACCCGGAGAAGAAGCCCCGGCUAACUUCGUGCCAGCAGCCGCGGUAAUACGAAGGGGGCUAGCGUUGCUCGGAAUUACUGGGCGUAAAGGGCGCGUAGGCGGAUAGUUUAGUCAGAGGUAAAAGCCCAGGGCUCAACCUUGGAACUGCCUUUGAUACUGGCUAUCUUGAGUACGGGAGAGGUGUGUGGAACUCCGAGUGUAGAGGUGAAAUUCGUAGAUAUUCGGAAGAACACCAGUGGCGAAGGCGACACACUGGCCCGUUACUGACGCUGAGGCGCGAAAGCGUGGGGAGCAAACA
rnacentral:rRNA from 1 species